rnacentral:rRNA from 1 species
GGGUGAGUAAUGCAUCGGAACAUGCCAACUGUGGGGGAUAACGUANCNAAAGUUACGCUAAUACCGCAUACGAUCUACGGAUGAAAGCGGGGGACUCGCAAGGGCCUCGCGCAGUUGGAGUGGCUGAUGUCAGAUUAGCUAGUUGGUAGGGUAAAAGCCUACCAAGGCAACGAUCUGUAGCUGGUCUGAGAGGACGACCAGCCACACUGGGACUGAGACACGGCCCAGACUCCUACGGGAGGCAGCAGUGGGGAAUUUUGGACAAUGGACGAAAGUCUGAUCCAGCAAUGCCGCGUGCAGGACGAAGGCCUUCGGGUUGUAAACUGCUUUUGUACGGAGCGAAAAGGUUCAUUUUAAUAAAGUGGGCUCAUGACGGUACCGUAAGAAUAGGCACCGGCUAACUGCGUGCCAGCAGCCGCGGUAAUACGUAGGGUGCAAGCGUUAAUCGGAAUUACUGGGCGUAAAGCGUCCGCAGGCGGUUCUAUAAGACAGAUGUGAAAUCCCUGGGCUCAACCUAGGAACUGCAUUUGUGACUGUAGAGCUAGAGUACGGCAGAGGGGGAUGGAAUUCCGCGUGUAGCAGUGAAAUGCGUAGAUAUGCGGAGGAACACCGAUGGCGAAGGCAAUCCCCUGGGCCUGUACUGACGCUCAUGGACGAAAGCGUGGGGAGCAAACAGGANUAGAUACCCUGGUAGUCCACGCCCUAAACGAUGUCAACUGGUUGUUGGGUCUUCAGUGACUCAGUAACGAAGCUAACGCGUGAAG